ACUGUCGUGUCUAAGCUAAGCAGGAGAAGCUCUCCCUUGAGAAAGAUACCUCACACCCCGAGUGGGUCAAACCAGACCUCUUCAUUAUAUAACCCCACAGACGAGCAACCCCAAGCAGAAUGUCAACCUCCCAGCACAGAGUUCUACUCCCUCAUUGAAAUGAAAGAUACAUUUACCCAGCUGGAGGUAAGGCAGGUGGAGCUAGAACAGCAGGUGAUUACACUCGUCAGCACAGACCCAGACAACAGUCCAUCACAACAACACCCCCUUAACCAGAGCUGGAGAGAUGGAGCUGGAGAGAGACAUAUCUGCACUCUGGACUGUGGUGAGACAAAUACAACAGGAGAAAAAGCAGAAGCAGGAGAAGAACAGAGCACCAGAGGAGAGGAUCAGACUGCUGGAGGAGAGGGUGAAAACCCAUUGAAAAGCGAGUGACCUCAAAAAAAAGAAGAUCUGAAUGGUGACUACCUCAUGAAGCUGGUUGAGAGAAUGCCAAGAGUGUGCAAAGCUGUCAACAAGGCAAAGGGUUGCUACUUUGAAGAAUCUCAUAUAAAACAUAUUUUGAUUUGUUUAACACUUUUUAUGUGUUAUUUCAUAUUUUUGAUGUCCUCACUAUUAUUCUACAAUGUAGAAAAUAGUCAAAUAAAGGAAAACCCUUGAAGGAG